rnacentral:lncRNA from 1 species
UUUCAGUGGGUGGUUGUUUCCUGAUGCUGUCUCCAAGUUCGGAGGGUGUGGACAUUUGAGUACAGCCCCCCAAGAAAUUAUAUUGAGAAAUCCAGAUGUGCAGUUGUGCAAGAGCAAGCUGGUGUGGAUUUUUGAAUGGAUAUUCUGAAGACAACUAGGUGCAUGUCCCAGCAAAGCUUCGCAAAGAUGUCAGUAUUAAUUGUCACCAUCCUCCAGGGAGAAAGCAACAGCCCACAAUUGCCUGCAUUUUCUUUCCUCUUCAAAACCACUUCUGCUCCAAAGACCAUGAACCUGAACUGAAGAAACGACUCCUUCCUGCUGGUGUGAGAUAAUUCAGUCUCCAUGAUGUCUUAAUCCUGGGCCUCCCUUAAUUGACUUCUAACUGUGCUGAACUGUGGCUGCUAGGAGUUGCAAUGUGGAUCGCAAUUUACAAGGAAGAGAAAAAGACCGGUCUCUGUUUGGAAAUUACAAACAUAGAAGAACUUAGAAACAAUGGGUUUCUAGAUUGGGUGGAAGGUGCCUGGCUACUUCAAGAGUUGAGCUAAUCACAGGGAAGAUUCAGUCUCAGUUCAGCUGCCUCAUUUGAUCAGCUCAAGACUGAGUCCAACAAAAGUGGUCUGUCUAAUGAAACUCAUUUUCAUUUUUUCUCAUUAGUCUAUACACGAUUGAGACUGUAGAACGACAAAAGAAUAAAAAGAAGAAUGACAAUUAAAAAUCAUUUUCUCUGGCCCUUGAUUUUUGCCUUCUUUUUUUUAAAUGUAGUUACGUGCUCAUUUUUUGUUUCUUUUUUAUUCUCUGCUCUUCUUUUCUAUUGAUUUUCCCAUUUAUGAAGGGGGAAUUAGUAAAUCCAUGGUCUGAGUGCUGAGAUGUUCUGAUAGGCCUUCAAGUUUUCAGCUGUACUCUGAAUCAGAAUAAUAUACUCCAUCAAGGAGACUGACAUUGGCACCACCUUCCCAGAAAUCCAGGAGCGCCUUUGCAUGAGGAAAAGCAGAAGGGAGUAAAGUCAUGAAACAUUGUGUGUGUGUUUGUAUAAAACUGUAUAUUUUUGCUCACAUAUAAUAACUAUAUAUUUCUGCUAAUUUUUCCUUUUAAAGGCUAUUAAGUUACUUAAAAUCCAUUGCCUAAUAAAACUGCAAUUCACCUUUGUAAUUCACUCAUUUGUUUGCUGUCACAGGGAAGAUAGAAAUUGAGCACGUUUUCGGCUGGGUGUGGUGGCUCACGCCUGUAAUCCUAGCACUUGGGGAGGCCGAGGUGGGCGGAUCACGAGGUCAGGAGAUCGAGACCAUCCUGGCUAACAUGGUGAAACCUCGUCUCCACUA